rnacentral:rRNA from 1 species
AGAAUCAACGCUGGCGGCGUGCCUAACACAUGCAAGUCGAACGCAAAAAGGGAGCAAUCCCUUAGUAGAGUGGCAAACGGGUGAGUAACACGUGGGUGACCUGCCUUCGAGUGGGGGAUAACGUCCCGAAAGGGACGCUAAUGCCGCAUAACAUCCUGUCUUUGGACAGAUGGAGAUCAAAGCUGGGGAUUCGCAAGAACCUGGCGCUUGAAGAGGGCCCGCGCCUGAUUAGCUAGUUGGUGAGGUAACGGCUCACCAAGGCAACGAUC